GAUGAAGACGCAGCGAAAUGCGAUAAGUAAUGUGAAUUGCAGAAUUCAGUGAAUCAUCGAAUCUUUGAACGCACAUUGCGCCCGUCAGUAUUCUGGCGGGCAUGCCUGUUCGAGCGUCAUUACGCCCCUCAAGUCCCCUGUGGACUUGGUGUUGGGGAUCGGCGAGGCUGGUUUUCCAGCACAGCCGUCCCUUAAAUUAAUUGGCGGUCUCGCCGUGGCCCUCCUCUGCGCAGUAGUAAAACACUCGCAACAGGAGCCCGGCGCGGUCCACUGCCGUAAAACCCCCCAACUUUUUAUAGUUGACCUCGAAUCAGGUAGGACUACCCGCUGAACUUAAGCAUAUCAAUAAGCGGAGGA
rnacentral:misc_RNA from 1 species